CGGAGGAAAAGAAACUAACAAGGAUUCCCCUAGUAGCGGCGAGCGAAGCGGGAAGAGCCCAAAAUGAAAAGCCUGCUUGCAGGCGUUGUAUUUGGGCGCUCUUUGGGGUGUCAGUGCGGGCAAGUUGUAUGGAAAUACAUGCCGUGGAGGGUGAGAGUCCCGUCCAACCUGCACAGGACACUUCGUACGAGAGCGUCUCUGACGAGUCGGGUAGCUUGGGAAUGCUGCUCUAAUUGGUGGUAAAUCUCAUCAAAGGCUAAAUAGCGGCCGGAGACCGAUAGCGAACAAGUACCGUGAGGGAAAGAUGACAAGCACUUUGAAAAGAGGGUGAAAAGAACCUGAAACCGUCAUGGGGGAAGCGGAUUGCGUUGGUGGUAUGGGAUGGCACGUGUUCAGCCUUUGUUGGUGCAUUGGCGUGUUGUCCCGAUCUGUCGUGGGUUUUGUGCGGUUGAAGUUGAACUGCGCGAGGCUGAGGGCUCCCUUUGAGAGGUGAGGACGAUGGUAUGACGACGCGAUACGACCCGUCUUGAAACACGGACCAAGGAGUCUAGCGCUACUGCGAGUCAAAGGGUGCAAGCCUGAGGGCGCAGUGAAAGCGAGUGUGAAAACGAGCAGUUUGGGGCGGCAUGAGAUUUUCAAUUUCAAGUCCGACCUAGAGCAGUUGCGCUGGGACCCGAAAGAUGGUGAACUAUGCCGGAGUAGGGCAAAGCCAGAGGAAACUCUGGUGGAGGCUCGUAGCGGUGCUGACGUGCAAAUCGCUCGUCUGACUUGGGUAUAGGGGCGAAAGACUAAUCGAACCAUCUAGUAGCUGGUUCCCUCCGAAGUUUCUCUCAGGAUAGCGGGCCGACGGGUGUUGUUUUGUGUGGUAAAGCGAAUGAUUAGCGCACUCGGGGGCAGUUAGCCUUUGGGCGAUUCUCAAACUUUCAAUACGCAAGGGUGCCGCUGCUUGGUUGAGCGGCACCGGCAAAAACGUCGGCCCUGUGGGCCACUUUUGGUAAGCAGAACUGGCGAUACGGGAUGAACCGUAAGUGUGGUUAAGGCGCCAAACUACCCGCUUAUAGACCCCACAAAAGGUGUUGAUUCAUCGAGACAGCAGGACGGUGGCCAUGGAAGUCGGAAUCCGCCAAGGAGUGUGUAACAACUCACCUGCCGAAUGAAUUAGCCCUGAAAAUGGAUGGCGCUCAAGCGGGUGGCCGACACCACGCCGUCUGGACAAGAAAGGUGUCAGAUGAGUAGGAGGGCGUGGCGGUUGUAUCGAAGCGUUGGUGCAAACUGACGUGGAACGGCCGCUAGUGCAGAUCUUGGUGGUAGUAGCAAGUAUUCAAGCGAGAACCUUGAAGGGCGAAGCGGGGAAGGGUUCCACGCGAACAUUGAUUGGGCGUGGGUGAGUCGUUCCUAAGCCGAGUGGCAAUUGCUAAGUAGCGGCGAAAGGGAAGCGGGUUGAGAUUCCCGCACACGGAUGUGGAGGCGGUGACGCGUAUUGGGACAAACACGCUGGCGAUGGCGCUGGGCAGAGUUGUCUUUUCUGUUUGACCUAGUGGCGCGCUGUGUGGAAUCUGCUUGUCGGGAGAAACACGCGUGUCGGGGCAGAGCGCCGGGGCUUUUCCGGCGUCCAGCUCGCCAUCGACGGCCCUUGAAACUUUGUCUGCUGAAUGAAUCCACGCCGUGGCGUACCGAUUACCGCAUCAGGUCCCCAAGGUGAACAGCCUCUGCUCGAUAUGAACAAUGCAGGUAAGGGAAGUCGGCAAAUUAGACCCGUAACUUUGGGAUAAGGGUUGGCUCUAGUGCUGCGUGGGAGUGGUUGCCUGGUGUUGGGGUGGCUGGCGAGGCUGGAUUGGCGCGGGAUGUGAGCUGGACUGAGCGCGAGAGUGUUUGGAAAGGGGAGCGACUUGUUCCGGGCGGCUUUGAGGGCUAUUCUGGGCCGGGCGACGCCCACGGCAUGCAGCAGACUAGAACUGCAACGGGCAAAGGGAAUCCGACUGUUUAAUUAAAACAAAGCAUUGCGAGGGCCGUGGCCGGUGAUGACGCAAU
rnacentral:rRNA from 1 species